CGGUGCUUGCCACUCCCCCGGCCCAUCUAUGCUGGGCAGGGCAGAAAUGCAAGUCUAGUGAGAACCCUGUUUGCUGGCAGGGGGCCUGAUUCUGGGGUCAGUGCAGAGUAAGCUCCCUGAAGUCAAUGUUAGCUCACAGUGACCAGGGAGCAGGACCCCAUGUGUGGUUUGCCAUGUACUCCACAGCGUCCCCUGCAGGGGGAGCCCGUUCACGCAGCUGAGCCUGCUUUUCUUUGAGACUUUAGACGAGUGAAAAGUAUUUGAGUGGCAGCCCUGUCAGUCACUCAGCUCAUAUAACACAACUAGACCGAUUGGCCGCACUUCUGGGCUGUGACUGGAUCUGCAUGGGAGUGCGUGUGUGACCGUCUCGGCUAUUCUGUUCACCGCUUUUACAAGACUGCACUGCGUUGAGCUGAGCCGCUCUGAAUCUUUCCCAGUGAACGCACCCAUCAAAUGCCUGAGAAACACUUUGGAGAAAGGCUCUUUUUGCUAAAAAUUCAACACCCAAGACCCUCUGCAGGAGAUGAGCCCAGUGAAUUCCCCAACAUAACCAAGGAAAACUAGAUGUGAAGCUCUGGCUAUCACUGAGAGGCAACAAGCAGAAUUAAAAAAAAAGGGCUCAAGGAGUUUAUCUAAAGAGCUGUCACUACAAAGGCGAAGAAGGACGAGGGUCGCCGAAUAGGACGGCAACAGCUGCCCCCAUAUUAGAAUGGAGACACAGCACAGUCAACGCCAGAAAAAUAAGCAGGGAGGUCACACAAACAAGAACACCCAGUGGAGUUCAUUUAAUCCCAGACAAACAACCACCCAACAAGCCAGCCAGCCCCUGGAGACUCACAGAGCUGAUGGUGAUAAUUAACCACGAGCCAGGAGUCUGAGGAGCUGAGUGAUCACCCGAGAAGAAGGCACCUGAGGUUUGGAGAGAGACUCUGGUGCCAUGAAAACAAAGGAUAUGAAGGUCUAGUUUUCUAAAACAGUCAAUGCCAGCAGCCCUGCACUCGUGAGUAACAAACAGCCCAAUGCUUCUGAGCUACCCUACAAUAACAAGCCAGCAUGAGCAGUCCAGUGCUUCUUAACAGCCGUACAAUCCCAAGCACGUGAGCAGUCCAGUCCUUCUGUGCAAUACUACAACAACAAACCAGUACACCCAGUCCUGUAGCAUAAGCAACCUACUAACUGUUUUGAGCAAAUGUGUGUCCAUGAAGAGCCCCCUAGAAACAAACCCAGCGCGUGCUUUCAGGAAGAUGGAGAGAGAAAAUAACCAGCUUCCUGGGGGCCGGCUAGGAACAGGGCAGAAAAAAAUGGAAGCAAAUAUGCUAUCUCAACUCAGGCAUUCUCUGAUUUCCCAGCGGGGGCGAGUGGGAAGGGACGUGGCGCUGGGGAAAAAGCCAAGCUUCUUGUUUAUAUACAAAUCUAUUGGAGAACAAGCAAACGCUGUAAGAAAAAUGAUCAGUGACAACAUGCAAACUAAACGGGUUUGUGCUUCAGGCUCAGGCUGUCGGAAAGUCCCUCCUGCAAACCACGCUUGGUCUGAAACCAGCACAUGCAAUACAGGGAAAGACCAGGCGGCAAAUGCUUCUCUCGUGAGGGAGAGCCCCAUCCUUGCCCACCCUGCUCUGUGGACCUUCCUGACAUACUGCAAGAUUCAGCUGGUUCCCUGGGCUUUUGCAGCAGGGGCGGGGGGUGCUGGGAACCCAGGGCAGUGUGAGGGAGAGAGUUUUUCUGGGGGUGGGGUAUUGUCAGCUGUGGGAGGGAUUAAGCUGCUAGUUAUCUCUGUGUGUGUGGAGGGGUGCCAUUUACAUCCAGGGUGCUUAGGGUUUCAGAUUGGUGCCCUUUUUUAUUAUUCUUUAUAACGGGAAACAAAGAAAGAAGCAUCUGAUUCAGAACCCACCUCUGAGGGCAGGGCCACUGGGUAUAAAGGGUUAAAAUGUUCACACGGGUGUCCAUCACCUGAGCUCAUCACCAAACUUGACUCGCGUUUAACACUUCAAUAAACUGGAUCCUUAUUUUCCAGACAGGUUAGGGGAUGCCGGUGCAUAUUUAAUUUGCACACGCAGCUACCAUGCUUGUGCAUGUUGUCCACACAAAUACAGCUCAUUCACGACAUGCGUGCACAGGUGACCAACACAGCGCAUGCAAAGAAGCCGCACGGUGGCUCAGGGAACAGCGUGACUGGAAAGCACUAUCAAUACGUGAACGCAUAAUACAAAGGAGUCACUCCCUAGUGGUGAGAUUUACCAGGCCUGCGCACCACAUAAAACCCACUUCGGCCUAUCGGGUUUUGGUGCAUAGGGCUCGUGUUGCCUCUCUGAAUCUCACCCUAAGUGAAGAAGGAGCGAAGGGCCUGAUCCAGAUCCUAGAUACCCACUGGGGCCCAAUCCUCCCACCAAAGGGUACAAGCAACACUUACUGACCUCAAUAGGACUCAACUGUAUCCUGCAAUGAGAUGCUAGAGCCCUGAGAGCUUUGGGGGAACCAGGGAGGAAAUGGUGGGAAACCCACUGUUUCCUGGAGGCCUGUCCUGUUCCUACCUACCAGACCUGUCCAACGUUAGCCCAGGGACAGGAAGGCACAAUUUAGGGAACUAGCCUUUAGCUGUGGAAGCUGUUGCCAAUAGGUCACUGGCUCAAAGCCAGCCCCAAUCAUAGAAGCUGCAAGCUGUUGCUCUCUGGGGCCUGGUGGCUUGUGAGAGAGGAGCUGGUGGAGGUCACCAGUGUUAGCAGCACCUCGGGUGUCAAUCUGAGCAGAGAGGACAUGGGCUGGAAGGGCCACGGUGACUUGAGCGCAGUCUCCUGACCAAGGUCAAGGGGUGCGGAUGUGGGAGUGCGUCCUAGUGCUACCCAGAGCAUCCCUGUUCUGCAGAUAGCUAAGGGGAGUCACUGACUCGGGUUGUCAAUCCAGCCCCUUCCACUGCCUAGGAACUCACUGAAGAUCUGUUUACCCUGCAACUGGGAGGUGAGACGGCAGCACGCGUAGCCAUCCGGAGCCAGCUUUAACCUAGCUAGAGUAACUACGGCAGUGAAGCUGUGGCCAGCAUGGGUGGCUCAGUGCCUGGGGUGGUGGAGAAACACCCCUUUCUCCAAGCCUCUCCAUGCUCUGCAGGGACUGCAAGGACAAGUGGUUUCUUCUCCCUCGUCUCCCUACAGCAAUUCCUGCAUGAGAAGACAUGCAUGCAGGGGAACACAGCUGGAAGCGUGUCCAUGUGUGGCUGUACAGGAAGACUCACAACUCCACUGCGGAUCUGGCUCAAUGUAGGUGAAUGUGUUUGUGCACGCCAGUGUAUGCUUGUGAGGCUGGUUCUGCAUGUGAGAAGUGGUGUGUGCAUGCACUCGUGAGCUCGGUGUACAUAGCUGUGUGCCAGACUUCGCAUGUGUCUGAUCUGUGAGCGUGUGUCAGGACAGUAGAGCUGCAUGCAGGUGGGCAGAGGUGUGUGCCCAUACCCUGUGUGGCGGUGUGUACAGUCACUGGACUAAAUGUGUGUGUCUGAGCAGCAUGCGUGCCCUGUGUGUGUACCCGUCUCUGUAAGUCUGCACUCUGUGGGCAGUGCAUGCAUGCGUGUGGGAGAGAGCGACUAAA